rnacentral:misc_RNA from 1 species
GAUGAAGAACGUAGCGAAAUGCGAUAAGUAGUGUGAAUUGCAGAAUUCAGUGAAUCAUCGAAUCUUUGAACGCACAUUGCGCCCCUUGGUAUCCCGAGGGGCAUGCCUGUUCGAGCGUCAUUUCACCACUCAAGCCUGGCUUGGUGUUGGGCGACGUCCUCUUUGGGGACGCGCCUCGAAACGCUCGGCGGCGUGGCACCGGCUUUAAGCGUAGCAGAAUCUUUCGCUUUGGAAGUCGGGGCCCCGUCUGCCGGAAGACCUGCUCGCAAGGUUGACCUCGGAUCAGGUAGGAAGACCCGCUGAACUUAAGCAUAUCAAUAAGCGGAGGA